CAACCAGGUUUUAAGGAUAUGCAUGUAGAGGUAUACAGGAAAAUGCAUCUUUUAAGUCUAAAAUUGAACCAUUUGGAAUGUUUAAGAAUCUGGGAUAACAAGGUGUAAGGAUCGAAGACCAAGGAUGUAUGGGAACCACUACCUCAUUUGUUGGAUCUGAGGUCCUGUACUGGUCUCCAUUCCCCAUUGGACUUCCAUGGGUGUAUUACAUGAACUUUAACAGUGUCUCAAGAGGCCCUGUCACUUGAAGUUACCUAUUAUAGCUUGCAACCAUUGUUUAGUCUCUGGUUUCAGGGGAUACCUGUUUUGGUGGGGAAAGGGUGUAGAAUCUUUGAGAUGAAUGUGUACAGGAGCAGGUCCUAUUGCUUCUCACCUUUUUCUCACUGUGUAGCU
rnacentral:lncRNA from 1 species